rnacentral:tRNA from 1 species
UCUUUCGUGGUGUAGCGGUCAGCACGCUGGGCGCGUAUUCCAGAGGUCCGUGGUUCGAGUCCCGGCGAAGGCG